rnacentral:rRNA from 1 species
UGCAGUCGACGAUAAACCGCUUAUCUUGGCGGCGGAUUAGUGGCGAACGGGUGAGUAACACGUGGGCAAUCUGCCCUGCACUCUGGGACAAGCCCUGGAAACGGGGUCUAAUACCGGAUAUGACCGUCUGCCGCACGGUGGAUGGUGUAAAGCUCCAGCGGUGCAGGAUGAGCCCGCGGCCUAUCACCUUGUUGGUGAGGUAGUGGCUCACCAAGGCGACCACCGGUAGCCCGCCUGAGAGGGCAACCGGCCACACUGGGACUGACACACGGCCCAAACUCCUACCGGAGGCCCCAGUGGGGAAUAUUGCACAAUGGCCUAAAGCCUGAUGCAGCGACUCCCCGAGAGGGAUGACGGCCUUCAGGUUGUAAACCUCUUUCAACAGGUAAGAAGCGAAAGUGAAGGUACCUGCAGAAUAACGCCUGCUAACUACGUGCCCCAGCCGCAGUAUACGUAUGGCGCAAGCGUUGUCCGGAAUUAUUGGGCGUAAAGAGCUCGUAUGCGGCUUGUCACGUCGGUUGUGAGAGCCCGGGGCUUAACCCCGGGUCUGCUGUCGAUACGGGCAGGCUAGACUUCGAUAGGCGAUAUCGGAAUUCCUGGUGUAGCGCUGAAAUGCACAGAUAUCAUGAGGAACACCGGUGGCAAAGGCUGAUCUCUGGGACGAUACUGACUCUGAAAGCAAAGC